GGUAUGUGCUGUGCAGAGGCGGCGUGAAUACGGGGUGGGCGAGGGGUGUUCAUAAUCGGUGUGCGUAAAGUGCGGGUAGGCGGCGUGAUAAGUCACUUGGGAAAGCCCGUUGCGCAGCGACGGGGCCGCAGGUGAGAGUGUCUGGCUGGAGCGUGGUAGGGGCGAGUGGAAUUCCCGGUGUAGCGGUGGAAUGCGUAGAGAUCGGGAAGAACACCGGUGGCGAAGGCGGCUCGCUGGGCCAAUGCUGACGCUGAUGCGCGAAAGCGUGGGGAGCAAACAGGAUUAGAUACCCGUGUAGUC
rnacentral:rRNA from 1 species